rnacentral:misc_RNA from 1 species
AAGGUGGUCGUACUGGAAAGUAUGGCUGGAUCAUCUCCUUUCUAAGAGGAAGAUAAAUCAAAACCAAUUUUAUUUACUUUUCUCUGUAUUUUUAUUUUGAUGAAAAAGCUUUUGAAGUUAAAGUAAAUUUUUAAUUUAACCUUUAGAAAAAAUAAAUCUUUAGAAAGUGUUUAGUAUUAUACAGUUUCAUAUUAAAUUAAACGUUGUUAAUAGUAAACAUAAUUUUAGAUUUUGAGUUGAAAGUUUUUAUAUGGCUAAAUAUGUAUUUUAAAUCUAAUAGAACGGCAAUUGCAAUUUUAAAAAUUGCAAUUGCAUUGUAAAUAUACCCUAACAUCGAAAUUGACAAAUGUUUUAUUUUUAUUGUUCAUCAGAGUUAAAGUAGACUAUAGUACAUAGUACUUGGAAAAAUGGAAUGCAUUGGGACCAGGAUGAGUUGAACAUCCGACCUCAGG